GCAUUGGUAGUUCAGUGCUAGAAUUCUCGCCUGCCACGCGGGAGACCCGGGUCCGAUUCCCGGCCAAUGCA
rfam:Danio rerio unplaced genomic contig NA915, GRCz11 reference primary assembly.